rnacentral:lncRNA from 1 species
GGUCCUAAUGUAUAUACACAAUACACAUACAAAGAUAUAUGAAUGAGCAACAACCUGAGGUUUUAUGAACAAUCUGAAGUGCAAAAUCUACCGGUGGACCGGGUUGCAAUAUAGCCUUCCUGAACAAAUCCUGACAAUUGAAAAACAAUUUAACCUGAUUAUGGAUAUACAAGACAUAAAAAAUAAAUAAAAAUAAAAAUACAUGUAUAAAUUUCACACAUUUUAACAUAAUUGAUGAGAACAAUUAAAAGGAUAUUAAAAUAUACCGAAACUUUCUUGGGAACUACUAGUGAAUUCAAGAUAUGAUGACGACCCAUAAUUCGCUUUGACUUUAUUACUUGGAAUUAGAACUGAUCUUUGUUCUGAAUCAGAAUUCCUCCUGUACCACCAUUCCCCCUGGCCUCAUUUCCCAAGCUGCAUCCCACUCCGGCCCGUCGCAUCCUGUCGUCGUUCUCCUUUUUGCCAAAGAGAAAAUUCCAAUCAUUUUCAUCAUCUCUUUUGUAUAUACUUGUUAGUGAUAGUAAAU